rnacentral:rRNA from 1 species
GACGGAGGUGGCUAGCGUUGUUCGGAAUCACUGGGCGUAAAGGGCGCGUAGGCGGCCUUGCAAGUCGGUUGGUGAAAGCCCGGGGCUACAACCCCGGGAGGUGCGGCCCGAGACUGCAGGCGUGGAGGCCGGAAGAGGAGGGUGGAAUACCCAGUGUAGAGGUGAAAUUCGGUAGAUAUUGGGUGGAACACCGGUGGCGAAAGCGGCUCUCUGGUCCGGAACCUGGACGCUGGAGGCGCGAAAGCGUGGGGAGCAAACAG